GUUGGCUAGUGGCUUGAGUGGACCUCAUGGGAUGGCAUUAUUAUUCUUUUUUAUUUUAUCACAUUUGUAAGUAACCAUGUCUGCACUGGUUAGAUAAUAUCUGAAAAAUCCUAAUUUCCGUAUGCCAGAUUUUAAGAUGGAGUGCUAAUAAACUGGCAGGUCCAGGAGGCAGAAUUAAGUAAUGAGAGAUUUUAGAAACUGAUCCUAAGAAGAAAUGAAGAAAUCAUGAAAUUACAACUUUGAGAGACAUCUUAGAUAAGAUUCCAGAGCAAGUUUCCCCAAUUUGUCACCGAGUGCUAACUAAUUAAGGAGUUGUCACUUUCCUGGCCUUCUCUCAAUGCUAUGCUCACUACAGCAUAUAAAUGUGGGUGUGAGGGUAAUCCUUCAUUAUAUAUUCAAGGGAACUGCCAAGUGUUUCCAUUUGUAUUGUUAUCAUUUGAAGAUAAAUCAUUCCAAUUUAUUUUAAUAAAAGGCAAACAGAUAUGUA